GACGAACGCUGGCGGCGUGCUUAACACAUGCAAGUCGAACGGAAAGGCCCUGCUUUUGUGGGGUGCUCGAGUGGCGAACGGGUGAGUAACACGUGAGUAACCUGCCCUUGACUUUGGGAUAACUUCAGGAAACUGGGGCUCAUACCGCAUAGGAGCUCCUGCUGCAUGGUGGGGGUUGGUAAGUUUCGGCGGUUGUGGAUGGACUCGCGGCUUAUCAGCUUGUUGGUGGGGUAGUGGCUUACCAAGGCUUUGACGGGUAGCCGGCCUGAGAGGGUGACCGGCCACAAUGCUACUGAGAGACGGCCCAGUCGCGUACGGGAGGCAGCAGUGGGGAAUAUUGCACAAUGGGCGGAAGCCUGAUGCAGAAACGCCGCGUGCGGGAUGACGGCCUUCGGGUGGUAAACCGCUUUCGCCUGUGACGAAGCGUGAGUGACGGUAAUGGGUAAAGAAGCACCGGCUAACUACGUG
rnacentral:rRNA from 1 species